rnacentral:lncRNA from 1 species
CAGCAGGUGGCUGCCCGAACCCACACGGGGAGGCCCUGCCGCCAGCCGCGCGAGCGGAGGAGGGCACGGCGGGCCCAGCAGGGUGGGGGCAUGGGUAAGCUGGGCCAGGUCAGGGCACAACCAACACACAGCCAGGCAUGCAGCGCAAAGUUGCCUGUUUUCCUGCCCCAUCUCCUGCUUUACUGUGCUGAGCUGGGACAGCGUGUGUGAAGCAGCCCAAGCCCACAUCCUAGCUGCACCCAGGUUGUGGGCACCAGAGCGGUGGUCUGAGGAACAGAGGUUGACUGGAGUCGGUGGAAGAGAGCAGAGUCUGGUACGAGACCACGCACGCCCAGAGGGUGGGAGGAGGAGUUCCCUGGUAACUAGUGCACAGAGGAUGAGCUGAAGGACUUGUAAGAUGGUUAGAUCCCUACCUCAUGCCACCCACGGAAACAGAGUCCAGGUGGAGGGAUGGCUUUACAGAGAGCAUGGGGACCUAACUGCAAAGAAAAAGAAACAUGAUAUUUUAAUAAAAAUGUGCUGGAGAAAUUUUUCUCAACAUGACGCCAAUAUCAGAAACCAUAAAGGUGUACAUAGUUCCUAAAUAGAUUAAAUUUCCCAGAGUGCUAAAGCUGCAAGAUGGCCAAGAAUGGAAAGACCAAGUCAAGAAGGACCAAGCCUUCCCUUGGUCACCUGUUGAAAAGGGACUGGUUAUCUUUUAAGGGGUACUGGGGAUGAAAUGCAGGGUCUUGCAAUGCUAGCCAAAUACUCUACCACUGAGAUAUUUACUGGUCUUUCAAAAAACAACCACCUUUUUACUUUUAGACAGUCUUAUUAGCUUGCCCAGGCUGUCUUUGAACUUUCCAUCUUCUUGCCUCAUCCACCUGUGCAGUUAGGAUGACAGGCCUGUGCCUCCAGGCCCAGAUGGGAUGUCUUAACUGUCUUUAUUUCUCAGGGGUGUGGGGAGUCCAGCACUGUGGAUCCCACACUUUGUUUGAGAUAAAUAACUGCUACUCAAGCGACGUAGAGGCUGUCACCUGCCUCGUGGCAGGGAGGGACAGGGUCUUUGAGUGUUCUCCGUGGCAGCAGCAAUCCCACAAAAUCCCAUGGACUUUGUGCUGAUAGCAGAGCACAGGUUAGUGCUGUUAGAGUCUUGGGUCUCUGGCAUCUUAAGUGCACAUUCAAUGUACAAAGACUAUGUGAGGAUAUGAAACGCCACACUGAGGCAGGGAGCUGAUUCUGCUGUGCCCAUUCAGUAAGCUCUGCCCCUUCCCAUAUCCUAGCUUCUCAAGAUCUCCACC